rnacentral:rRNA from 1 species
UAUACUGCAGUCGAGCGGACAGAAGGGAGCUUGCUCCCGGAUGUUAGCGGCGGACGGGUGAGUAACACGUGGGUAACCUGCCUGUAAGACUGGGAUAACUCCGGGAAACCGGAGCUAAUACCGGAUAGUUCCUUGAACCGCAUGGUUCAAGGAUGAAAGACGGUUUCGGCUGUCACUUACAGAUGGACCCGCGGCGCAUUAGCUAGUUGGUGAGGUAACGGCUCACCAAGGCGACGAUGCGUAGCCGACCUGAGAGGGUGAUCGGCCACACUGGGACUGAGACACGGCCCAGACUCCUACGGGAGGCAGCAGUAGGGAAUCUUCCGCAAUGGACGAAAGUCUGACGGAGCAACGCCGCGUGAGUGAUGAAGGUUUUCGGAUCGUAAAGCUCUGUUGUUAGGGAAGAACAAGUGCAAGAGUAACUGCUUGCACCUUGACGGUACCUAACCAGAAAGCCACGGCUAACUACGUGCCAGCAGCCGCGGUAAUACGUAGGUGGCAAGCGUUGUCCGGAAUUAUUGGGCGUAAAGGGCUCGCAGGCGGUUUCUUAAGUCUGAUGUGAAAGCCCCCGGCUCAACCGGGGAGGGUCAUUGGAAACUGGGAAACUUGAGUGCAGAAGAGGAGAGUGGAAUUCCACGUGUAGCGGUGAAAUGCGUAGAGAUGUGGAGGAACACCAGUGGCGAAGGCGACUCUCUGGUCUGUAACUGACGCUGAGGAGCGAAAGCGUGGGGAGCGAACAGGAUUAGAUACCCUGGUAGUCCACGCCGUAAACGAUGAGUGCUAAGUGUUAGGGGGUUUCCGCCCCUUAGUGCUGCAGCUAACGCAUUAAGCACUCCGCCUGGGGAGUACGGUCGCAAGACUGAAACUCAAAGGAAUUGACGGGGGC